UGACCUGGGAUCAGUCGUGAUUACACGCUGAACUUAAGCAUAUCACUAAGCGGAGGAAAAUAAACUACUCAGGAUUCACCUAGUAACGGCGAGUGAAUAAGGAAUAGCCCAGCACAGAAGCCUGCGGUAGGUUAACUUCAAGACAAUGUGGUGUUCGGGUCGACUGGCGGGAUUGCUACUCCACUUGAAGUCCAGCAUUGGGUAUGGUUCACUGGCUUUUGCCCAGAGAGGGUGAAAGGCCCGAGCGAGUGUAGGUUAAGACAUGUGAGGCAAUUUGCCAGGUUGACAUUCGAGUCUAGUUGUGUGGGAAUGCAGCCCAAAGUGGGUGGUAAAAUCCAUCUAAGGCUAAUUACAAGCCAAAUUCCGAUAACGAACAAGUACCGUGACGGAAAGUUAAAAAGUACUUUGUAAAGAGAGAGCGAGAGAGUUAACAGUACGUGAAACCGCAUAUAGGUAAACGAAAGGCGUCAAGCUUGUAGGUAUUUGUAAAAUUUACAUCUUUGUAUAUUUCUUGUUCACCUGAAUCUUUAUGAUCCCUUGUUUUAAUGUGCUUAAUAAAAACACAACAGCCAGCUUCAACCGGGCGAUUGGCUAAUUGCACAAUUUGCGGAACGUAUGCGGCACAGCGCCAAUUCCACACAACCAGAAAAACCAAUACAAUUUACGAUAUACCAAUUUCCUGCAAACGGAAGUACGGCACUAAAACAAACUAACAUAAAAAUAUAAAGAAAACCAAAAAGACUAAUAAAGGACAUAAGGGAAAAACAAUCAAUCAAAACAUUGAUAUUUAAUUUAAUAAGGCAUAUAUUACUGCCAUAUCUAUCUUACUACCGUCAAUACCUACCGUUAGCAGUCCCAUCCUCAGUUCACCAUGUCUACUCACCGACGC
rnacentral:ncRNA from 1 species